GUCGGGAGUCUUGCACAAUGGGGGAAACCCUGAUGCAGCGACGUCGCGUGUGGGAUGAAGUAUUUCGGUAUGUAAACCACUUUUGCGGGGGGCGAAAAAAAUGACGGUACCCCGCGAAUAAGCCCCGGCUAACUACGUGCCAGCAGCCGCGGUAAUACGUAGGGGGCGAGCGUUGCUCGGAUUGACUGGGCGUAAAGCGCGCGUAGGCGGUCCAUUAAGUGUGCGGUGAAAUUCGGAGGCUCAACCUCCGUCCCGCCGCGCAAACUGAUGGUCUUGAGAUUGGGAGGGGGAUGCGGAAUUCCUGGUGUAGCGGUGAAAUGCGUAGAUAUUAGGAGGAACACCAGUGGCGAAGGCGACUUUCUGGACUGUAACUGACACUGAGGCACGAAAGCGUGGGUAGCAAACAGGAUUAGAUACCCGGGUAGUCC
rnacentral:rRNA from 1 species